rnacentral:lncRNA from 1 species
CAGAUUUCCAGUGUUUGUUUAUGCCUGCUUGAUGGAAAGUACGGUUUGCAUCUGUCUCUUGGUGAGGAUCCAGCCUCCUGGGGACAGACUAGACCACAACAUACUUUCCUUUUGAGUAAUAAUGCAUAUGGAGCAUGGAGGUCAGUGUGGACACUCUCCAGAAGCUCACUAGGUGACUGCAAAUGUGUGGAGUACCAUGGCAGAGUUUACAUUGCGACCAGUUACCAAAGCUAUUUCAAACAUCACUGUCCUGUAUUGCAAUCUUCUCUAGACUUAUCUUUAGUAAUGCAUCUCCUUGAUGCAACAGCAUUGUUACUGGCCCAUUGUCUUUAGGUGAAUCCUUACAACAUGAGGGGUGAAUCAAUGUCAGUGUAGCCUCCUGUUUGCUUAGUACUGUAUUUACUGUGUGGAGAAAAGGACUAGUGUUCUGGUCAUGCCUGCCAUAAUUGUAAUUACUUGACGUAGUUUUACUGAGCAAAGUUUACUCCAAGUUUCUUGAUCUGAAAACACUCUUUUCAUGUGCUCAUAAGAUGAGCACAUCUUAUUCAGUAAGAGUUUCAUUACUAAAGCAGUAGAUUCAGUAGUCAUGGAUUUGAUGAAGACCAGUGCUGUCUAAAAGACAAGUUGUAUGCUUUAGCAAAAUGUGUUUAUCAACUUAACGUCUGUACUGUUUCCAGAAUGUUGAGAAGUAUACUGAGUAUCUUGAUGAAAUGAAUUUGUAUAAUGAGAAAAGAAUAUCAGUAUGGUACUGUUUAAUUAACAACAACGAAGAAGACAAAAAAAAAAUUUUCCUCCAGAUAUGACCCAAUUUCCACUUUUGGAGUAGAUGGCAGAUAUUUUAAAUGGGUGCUGUAGUUUUUAUGCUGAUGUAUUAGCUGAUUACUUAAAGAAUGCGUUCAUUCAUAUGAUACAUUCCAUUGCUUUGUCAUGUUUUGUCAAUUUGAGUUGACUUAUAAUGUGUGCUGUGUAACAUGAUGUGAUACCACAUCAUUUGACAUAAAUUGGCAUAAUAUAAUUUAGCAGGUUAGAAAAGUAAGGUAAACAAAAUUGUGUCUGUGAUGAAAUUCAUGUUGCUCAUUUGAGGAAAUGUGAAAAAUUUUUGCUGUAGAAUAAAAGUAUAUUACAAAUUACA